rfam:Valsa mali strain 03-8 chromosome 7, whole genome shotgun sequence.
AACUGCACUAUGAUGAUCAACCCUUCAAAUUCAUACAGUUAUCCCUGUCUGAAUCAUUCUUUGUUGAUUUUCUAUAUCUGAUCGCAUUU